rnacentral:rRNA from 1 species
UCAGGAUGAACGCUAGCGACAGGCCUAACACAUAGCAAGUCGAGGGGCGAGCGGGAAUUGAAGCUUGCUUAAGUUGCCGGCGACCGGCGCACGGGUGCGUAACAGGUGUGCAAUCUGUCCAUAGUCGGGGAAUAGCCCAGCGAAAGUUGGAUUAAUGCUCCAUGUGAAUCGAGACCGCAUGAUUUUGAUUUGAAACGUAAGGACUAUGGGUGAGCACGCUUCUGAUUAGAUAGUUGGUGAGGUAACGGCUCACCAAGUCGACGAUCAGUAGGGGUUCUGAGAGGAGGGUCCCCCACAUUGGAACUGAGACACGGUCCAAACUCCUACGGGAGGCAGCAGUGAGGAAUAUUGGUCAAUGGGCGAGAGCCUGAACCAGCCAAGUCGCGUGAAAGGAUGAAGGUUCUAUGGAUUGUAAACUUCUUUUGUCCGAGGGUAAAAAAGGUCACGUGUGACUUCUUGCAAGUAUCGGACGAAUAAGCAUCGGCUAACUCCGUGCCAGCAGCUGC